UACGUAGGUGGCAAGCGUUAUCCGGAAUUAUUGGGCGUAAAGCGCGCGCAGGCGGUUUCUUAAGUCUGAUGUGAAAGCCCACGGCUCAACCGUGGAGGGUCAUUGGAAACUGGGGAACUUGAGUGCAGAAGAGAAAAGCGGAAUUCCACGUGUAGCGGUGAAAUGCGUAGAGAUGUGGAGGAACACCAGUGGCGAAGGCGGCUUACUGGUCCGGUACUGACGCUGAGGUGCGAAAGCGUGGGGAGCAAACAGG
rnacentral:rRNA from 1 species